UACGGGGGGGGCAAGCGUUGUUCGGAAUUACUGGGCGUAAAGGGCGCGUAGGCGGCCAUCUAAGUCAGACGUGAAAUCCCUCGGCUCAACCGAGGAACUGCGUCUGAUACUGGAAGGCUUGAAUCCGGGAGAGGGAUGUGGAAUUCCAGGUGUAGCGGUGAAAUGCGUAGAUAUCUGGAGGAACACCGGUGGCGAAGGCGGCAUCCUGGACCGGUAUUGACGCUGAGGCGCGAAAGCGUGGGUAGCAAACAGG
rnacentral:rRNA from 1 species